CUUGGUCAUUUAGAGGAAGUAAAAGUCGUAACAAGGUCUCCGUAGGUGAACCUGCGGAGGGAUCAUUACACAAAUAUGAAGGCGGGCUGGAACCUCUCGGGGUUACAGCCUUGCUGAAUUAUUCACCCUUGUCUUUUGCGUACUUCUUGUUUCCUUGGUGGGUUCGCCCACCACUAGGACAAACAUAAACCUUUUGUAAUUGCAAUCAGCGUCAGUAACAAAUUAAUAAUUACAACUUUCAACAACGGAUCUCCUGGUUCUGGCAUCGAUGAAGAACGCAGCGAAAUGCGAUAAGUAGUGUGAAUUGCAGAAUUCAGUGAAUCAUCGAAUCUUUGAACGCACAUUGCGCCCUUUGGUAUUCCAAAGGGCAUGCCUGUUCGAGCGUCAUUUGUACCCUCAAGCUUUGCUUGGUGUUGGGCGUCUUGUCUCUAGCUUUGCUGGAGACUCGCCUUAAAGUAAUUGGCAGCCGGCCUACUGGUUUCGGAGCGCAGCACAAGUCGCACUCUCUAUCAGCAAAGGUCUAGCAUCCAUUAAGCCUUUUUUUCAACUUUUGACCUCGGAUCAGGUAGGGAUACCCGCUGAACUUAAGCAUAUCAAUAAGCGGAGGAAAAAGAAACCAACAGGGAUUGCCCUAGUAACGGCGAGUGAAGCGGCAACAGCUCAAAUUUUGAAAUCUGGCUCUUUUAGAGUCCGAGUUGUAAUUUGCAGAGGGCGCUUUGGCUUUGGCAGCGGUCCAAGUUCC
rnacentral:rRNA from 1 species